AAUGAAUGUUGGCGGCGUGGAUUAGGCAUGCAAGUCGUACGCUGUAUGUAGCAAUACAUGAGGAGUGGCGUAAGGGAGAGUAAUGCAUGGUUAGCUACCCUCGGGACUGGGAUAGCGGCGGGAAACUGCCGGUAAUACCAGAUGACAUCUUCGGAUCAAACGUGUAAAUCGGCCCGAGGAGGUGACCAUGUCAUAUCAGCUAGUUGGCGGUGUAACGGACCACCAAGGCUAAGUCGGGUAUGGGGCGUGAGAGCGUGCCCCCACUCACUGGGACUGAGACACUGCCCAGACACCUACGGGUGGCUGCAGUCGAGAAUCUUCGGCAAUGGGCGCAAGCCUGACCGAGCGACGCCGCGUGCGGGAUGAAGGCCUUCGGGUUGUAAACCGCUGUCGUAGGGGAGGAAGGCUCCGUGCAGAACGGAGUUUGACCGAUCCUAGGAGGAAGGGCCGGCUAAUCUCGUGCCAGCAGCCGCCGUAA
rnacentral:rRNA from 1 species